AUGGCUCAGAACGAACGCUGGCGGCAUGCCUAACACAUGCAAGUCGAACGAGACCUUCGGGUCUAGUGGCGCACGGGUGCGUAACGCGUGGGAAUCUGCCCCUCGGUUGGGAAUAACACAGAGAAAUUUGUGCUAAUACCUUAUAAUGUCUUCGGACCAAAGAUUUAUCGCCGAGGGAUGAGCCCCGCGUAGGAUUAGGUAGUUGGUGGGGUAAUGGCCUACCCAAGCCGACGAUCCUUAGCUGGUCUGAGAGGAUGAUCAGCCACACUGGGACUGAGACACGGCCCAGACUCCUACGGGAGGCAGCAGUGGGGAAUAUUGGACAAUGGGCGAAAGCCUGAUCCAGCCAAUGCCGCGUGAGUGAUGAAGGCCUUAGGGUUGUAAAGCUCUUUUACCCGGGAUGAUAAUGACAGUACCGGGAGAAUAAGCUCCGGCUAACUCCGUGCCAGCAGCAGC
rnacentral:rRNA from 1 species